UGCCCAAUGAAAAAUUAAAUGGCCGCAGUAUUUUGACUGUGCAAAGGUAGCAUAAUAAUUAGUUUUUUAAUUGAAAGCUGGAAUGAAAGGUUGAACGAAAAAAUAUCUGUCUCAAUUUAAUUUAAUUAGAAUUUUAUUUUUUAGUAAAAAAGCUAAAAUAAUUUUUAAAGACGAGAAGACCCUAUAGAGUUUUAUAUUUUAAUUUUGUAUAUUUUUUAGAAUUUUUUUAUAAUUUUAAAUAUUUUAUUGGGGUGAUAAAUAAAUUUAAAUAACUUUAUUAAUUUCUUACAUAAAUAUAUGAUUAAUUGAUCCAUAAAAAUGAUUAAAGAUCAAAUUACCUUAGGGAUAACAGCGUUAUUUUUUUUUAGAGUUCUUAUCGAAAAAAAAGAUUGCGACCUCGAUGUUGGAUUAAAAUUUAUUUAUGGUGUAGAAGCUAUAAUAUUAGGUCUGUUCGACCUUUAAAAUUUUACAUGAUCUGAGUUUAAACCGGUGUGAGCCAGGUUGGUUUCUAUCUUAAAAUUAAUAAAAUAUUUUAGUACGAAAGGACCAAAUAUUUAUAAAAUUUAUUAAAUUUUGAAUUC
rnacentral:rRNA from 1 species